rnacentral:tRNA from 1 species
GGGGGAGUGCCAGAGUCUGGUCAAAUGGGCUGGACUUAAGAUCCAGUGGCUUAGUGCCUGCGAGGGUUCAAAUCCCUUCUCCCCCA